rnacentral:tRNA from 1 species
UGUCCUAGGAGGAUUACUCUCAUCUUUGGUUUACAAAGCCAGGGCUUUAGGUUAAUGUUUAAGCUACUAGGAU